AGCGAACGCUGGCGGCAGGCUUAACACAUGCAAGUCGAGCGGGCCCUUCGGGGUCAGCGGCAGACGGGUGAGUAACACGUGGGAACGUACCCUUCGGUUCGGAAUAACUCAGGGAAACUUGAGCUAAUACCGGAUACGCCCUUUGGGGGAAAGGUUUACUGCCGAAGGAUCGGCCCGCGUCUGAUUAGCUAGUUGGUGGGGUAAUGGCCCACCAAGGCGACGAUCAGUAGCUGGUCUGAGAGGAUGGCCAGCCACACUGGGACUGAGACACGGCCCAGACUCCUACGGGAGGCAGCAGUGGGGAAUCUUGCGCAAUGGGCGAAAGCCUGACCCAGCAACGCCGCGUGAAGGAUGAAGUAUUUCGGUAUGUAAACUUUCGAAAGAAUGGGAAGAAUAAAUGACGGUACCAUUUAAUAAGGUCCGGCUAACUACGUGCCAG
rnacentral:rRNA from 1 species